rnacentral:lncRNA from 13 species
UGAUGUCUAAACCCUCAGUACCACAGAAUGUGAUCUUAAUUGGAAAUAUAGUCAUUGCAGAUGUAAUUAGUGAAGUUAAGAUAAGGUCAUACUGCAGUAAAGUUUGAGUUUAAUCCAAUUUGACUGAUGUCCUUACAGGAAGAAGGUGUGAUGACAUAGAUUCCCGGGGACAAUGCCAAGUGAUGACAGACACAGACACUGGAGUGAUACAGUACAAGCCCAGGAACACUAAGGAUCCAUGACCACCAUCAGAAGCCACAAAGAUGCAAGGAAGGAUUCUCCCCUACAUGUUUCAGCGGAAGCAUGUUUCUGUGGCCACAUUCAUUUCAGAGUUCUAGCUUCCACAAGUCUUUGAAGAAAACCACCCUUUUAUGCUUGACCAAAAAAAGUAUUGCUUUUCUACAGAUUUGAACUCUAAACUCAAUUUCUGACUUCAAGGUAUGUACAAAUGAAUAAAUGUUAACGGUGACAGUUUUCA